AAUGAGAGAAGUUCGACUAAAAUCCUCACGUCCUGUGACAACGUCGAACGACCCCACAUCGUGUGGG
rnacentral:sRNA from 1 species